UACGUAGGUGGCAAGCGUUGUCCGGAAUUAUUGGGCGUAAAGCGCGCGCAGGCGGCCUCUUUAGUCUGAUGUGAAAGCCCCCGGCUCAACCGGGGAGGGCCAUUGGAAACUGGGAGGCUUGAGUAUAGGAGAGAAGAGUGGAAUUCCACGUGUAGCGGUGAAAUGCGUAGAGAUGUGGAGGAACACCAGUGGCGAAGGCGACUCUUUGGCCUAUAACUGACGCUGAGGCGCGAAAGCGUGGGGAGCAAACAGG
rnacentral:rRNA from 1 species